rnacentral:rRNA from 1 species
GUCCUUUUGAAUAUAAUUUAAGGUCUGGCCUGCCCACUGAGGUUUUGAAGGGCCGCAGUAUUUUGACUGUGCAAAGGUAGCAUAAUCAUUAGUUUUUUAAUUGAAAGCUGGAAUGAAGGGUUAGAUAAGGAAAAAACUGUCUCAAUUUUAUUGAUUUAGAAUUUUAUUUUUAAGUUAAAAAGCUUAAAUGUAUUUAAAAGACGAGAAGACCCUAUAGAGUUUUAUAUAAUAAAAAUUUUUUUAUAUUUAGAUUUUUUAAUUUUUAAGUUUUUGUUUAUAUUUAAUUGGGGUGAUUAUAAAAUUAAACAAACUUUUAUUUUAUUAUUACAUAAAUUAAUGAUUACUUGAUCUUAAUUUUUAGAUUAUAAGAUAAAAUUACCUUAGGGAUAACAGCGUAAUUUUUUUUUAGAGUUCAAAUCGAAAAAAGGGAUUGCGACCUCGAUGUUGGAUUAAAGUUAAUAUUUGGUGAAGAAGCUAAAUUAUUAGGUCUGUUCGACCUUUAAAACUUUACA